rnacentral:rRNA from 1 species
AGCAGCCGCGGUAAUUCCAGCUCCAAUAGCGUAUAUUAAAGUUGUUGCAGUUAAAAAGCUCGUAGUUGAAUUUCGGGGUUCUACCGUUGGUCGGGCUUUGUCUGUACUGGCGUGUAGAAUUUCUACCUUCUGGGGAACCAUCAUGAUAUUAAUUUAACGUGGUGGGAAACCAGGACCUUUACCUUGAAAAAAUUAGAGUGUUCAAAGCAGGCUUAUGUCUGAAUACAUUAGCAUGGAAUAAUAGAAUAGGACGGUGGUCCUGUUUUGUUGGUUUCUGAAUCACCGUAAUGAUUAAUAGGGAUAGUUGGGGGCAUUAGUAUUCAAUUGUCAGAGGUGAAAUUCUUGGAUUUAU